rnacentral:rRNA from 1 species
AGCUGCAGUCGAGAUCAUUCGCAAUGGGCGAAAGCCUGACGAUGCGACGCCGUGUGAGCGAAGAAGGCCUUAGGGUUGUAAAGCUCUUUCGCUUGGGAACAAGAGAUUAUGCUGAAUAAGCAUGAGAUUUGAGGGUACCAGGUAAAGAAGCACCGGCUAACUC